CAAGCAACAGCAUAUCAGCAUUGCUGCUUCUACAGAAUCUUUUCCAAACUGGAGAUCUAUACUGUCACCAACACGGCCUUUUGCAGAAACUAAGACUGCCUCAGUAGCUGACAUUUCUAUGGGACAGACUUUAGAGAACGCAAACUUGCUUCAGAUGAUAAGAACAACACUGACAGGCACGCGUGCCAGAGCUAUGGAUCAGACUAAUCUUUCACCCACUCUUUAUCAAGGCAGUGGAAACAGUGCAUCGCAGGAACCUGCCGAAGUUUCGGCUGAUUCACCUCUGAGGUCAUCAUCUCAAGAUGCAGAUGAGCCGGCUGCUGUGUCAGUGUUUUCUGGAGUGUCUUCUGGUGCAAAUCCUACAGUAGGAACUUCAGAAGCUAAACAA